rnacentral:rRNA from 1 species
AUUGAACGCUGGCGGCAUGCCUUACACAUGCAAGUCGAACGGCAGCACGGACUUCGGUCUGGUGGCGAGUGGCGAACGGGUGAGUAAUGCAUCGGAACGUGCCAUUGAGUGGGGGAUAACGUAGCGAAAGUUGCGCUAAUACCGCAUAUUCUGUGAGCAGGAAAGCAGGGGGACCGCAAGGCCUUGCGCUCUUUGAGCGGCCGAUGUCAGAUUAGCUAGUUGGUGAGGUAAAGGCUUACCAAGGCGACGAUCUGUAGCGGGUCUGAGAGGAUGAUCCGCCACACUGGAACUGAGACACGGU